rnacentral:rRNA from 1 species
GUGUCAGCAGCCGCGGUAAUACGGAGGAUCCGAGCGUUAUCCGGAUUUAUUGGGUUUAAAGGGUGCGUAGGUGGUUUGAUAAGUCAGCGGUGAAAGUUUGCAGCUUAACUGUAAAAAUGCCGUUGAAACUGUCGGACUUGAGUGUAAAUGAGGUAGGCGGAAUGCGUGGUGUAGCGGUGAAAUGCAUAGAUAUCACGCAGAACUCCGAUUGCGAAGGCAGCUUACUAAGCUACAACUGACACUGAAGCACGAAAGCGUGGGGAUCAAACAGGAUUAGAUACCCUGGUAGUCCACGCAGUAAACGAUGAUUACUAGCUGUUUGCGAUACACAGUAAGCGGCACAGCGAAAGCGUUAAGUAAUCCACCUGGGGAGUACGCCGGCAACGGUGAA